AAGAGGCAGACUACAAUUUUCUUAGAAACUUUCAAUCUUAGAAAUAUUGUUAGGUGUCUUAAUGAUGAGUGAGUAAAAAUCACUUUUCCCACUAGGAAAAUGUAUCCUAUUAAUGUGUAUGUAUGUAAAAUAGAAAGAUCAGAUUAAAGAUUUUUCUUAUGUAAUAUUUUCAUGGAAUAAAGAGUUUGUUUCUAUAUCCUUUAUCCACCUCAAUUGUUAGCCAUAAGUGAAGGUUGAGAUCCUCAACCUUAUACGAUGAAAGAUACGAAGUUAGCCUCAGACUGAGCAUCAUUGUACGUUAAAUAAUAUUUUAUUGCAGAGAAGAAGUACUGUUGUACUGAUACAACUAGCAUAAGAAGAAGUUGAAAGGUAUAAACAUAAACUAUAUAUUUCGUGAAGCUAUUAGCAUAAGAAGAAAUCUAUCUUCAUAUUUGUUCUUUGUAUGUUCAUACAUACUAUAUAAUACUAAGUACCUAUAGGGAAUAACUAUCAUCAUGAAAUUUUCAAUACUUCAAUAAUGAAAGUUGUUCAACCACAACUAAAAAAGAUUAGAAAAAGAUUUUGGAAAUCUAAAAAGUCAAUAGAAACUCUUAACAAAAAUAUUUCAAAGAUGUAAUAUUAUAUUUGGAAAAAUUUGAUUGUGGAUGUCAUACUAAUUGACAUGAUAUAUGAAGCUCGCAUGCUACGAGAAACAAAAAAGUUUUUGUAUCAAAAUUAGACUUUUUUACUCAAAGAAUAUAUCCUUUAUAUAACUUAAUGAGCUAUUAUGCUAUCUUCUUUAAUGAAAAAGUUUGAUCACCAUCUUAAAGGUAAUCAAAUUGAAUAAGGAUUUGCAAGAAAAAAUUCUUGAAAAAAUCAUCAACAGUAUUGUUCAAGAACAAUGGUCUAUCCGUGAUUAUACCUAUAUAUAUAGCGAUGAUUACCUAUACUAUUUGUAUGAUGAAAAUUAUUUCUCUGAAUAAACAUCUAAUUUCCGCUUAUUUACUCUGUUUGUGAACAGCCCAAUAAAAGUUGGUAUAAAAAAGACAUCUCAGACUUAGCGAUGCCCUUAGAAACUGACUACCGAAUCAUCGAGACAGAUGGAAGUAUAGAAGGUUGGGGUCGUAUUAAAAAAAAUCCAAUAAAUAUAGCGACAAAAAUAAGAAAGUAUGUGUUCUUAUCAGAGUGUUAAGUAUAAAGAAAAAGGUAAUAUGAGUAGCAUAAAUGCGGAGACAUUAGCAGUAAUUUUAUGGUUUGAAUAGUUUUAAACUCGAUGUAUUAAAUAAACCUGAAAUAUUAGUACGAACAGACUGUGAGGAAACUAUUAAGUAAUAUACAUUUCAAACCACAAGUAAUGUUGGAUCACCAAAUACUUGAAAGGAUGGUUUUUGGCACUCAAAGCUUAAUAUGCUAUCAACCCUCAAAAUUAAGACCUAAAAUAAGUGUAGAUAAGCAACAAACAUUCCUUAUAGACAACUUGUGGAUAUCUUACAAUAAAAUACCCCGAGAUAACAAUUAUUUUAUCUUAGUAUUAAAUGAUUUAAGUUAUUAUUUUACAGAAAAGAAUUCAACUUACCAAUUUAAAUACUAUGUUGUUAUUAAAGAGAAGACGUAAGGAGUUUUUCAGACAUGGAUAGACGUAGUAAAGUCAAUAAAAAAAUCAUACGAACCCUCUUUUUAAAGGUUUCAAUGACCUUACUGAAGUAUUAGACUACGCUUGAGGGAAUAUGAGACCUAAUUAUUAUAUAAAUCUAGCUCUUAGAAAAGAAAUGAGAGAUAUCCCCCAGUAUAAUAUAAAGAAACACACAAACAAGAUCAUUUUCUGCGAUUAUUAUUGUAACUCACAGCAUUUGCGAGUUAGAAAUCAAACCUUCAUUCUUACGUGUGUAUACUCUAAUCCCAUGAUUUAUAUUUAAAUUCAUGAGUCAUGAUCUUUAUCCUAGUGUAUGAAGUGAUUAUGAGGUAAAAAAUGUUCAUAAAAGUCACUUAGAGAAAAGUUGAGCUAAGAGUCUUUAAUUCACCCAAAGUUUGAUAUUUGAUUCUACAAGGGUCAACUUUGAACAUUUAUAACUUUUUAUAUAUGUGGAAUUUUUCGGUUCAAUACUCACAAAAUUAUAGAUAAUUGAAUUAUCUGUCCAUCUAUACCAAUUUUGCCUUAAUCCAAUACCUGAGCUAAAUGUUAUGAUCAUUUUUGUAAGAACUAGUAAGCCACCGUAAUAAGACCGCAUCGCGGUGAGCACGCAAAACACAGUUACGAGUUUAAAAUUGCCUGAGGGGAAAUUAUACGUUUUCCCCUCAAUCCAAUUCAUAAAUCCACAACUUAAAUCAUCGGUUAGGGCACAAAUUUCCAUCUUCUCCCAUUUUUCUCUUAAGAAAACCUUAUCUCUUCCCUAAGAACAAGAAAUCAAGCCUUUUAAGUUUAAGAUUCUCAAGAAAGGUGUCAAGAUUAGGGUUUAAUCCUUCAAUCUAAGAAAUUUAAGGUACGUGGGACAAUCCAAAAUCUCAUAGUCAUGUAUUUACUAUUUUCAAACUAUUUUUAAAGAGUAUAUAUGUGCACAUAAGAAAUUGUUUUCAAGAUUAUUGAUAAGAUGAACCAAAAAUUCUAUACUUUGAAGAAGUUUUGUAAAAAUUAUGGCUUGGAACCAUAAACUCGAAAUGUUUUUUCGUUUGACCAUGUGAUAUUUAGAUUUUGAAGUUAAAUAAGAGCAUGGGAUAUGUAAUUCCCUCUUUUACUAUGAAAUCCAUUGAUUUUACAUGUUCUGAAUUGAUUAUAUGAAUUUCUAAAAACUCGAGUCUAUUGAUGAACUAUUAUGUAGAAAAUUGUACAGUCUUUAUGAGAUAAUGAAAGGGUCUUUUAAUUUUUUUUAUAAAUGAACAUGCUUCCCAUUAUGAAGGGUUUUAAAUUGAUAAGAAAAGGUGACCACAGUAGAUAACGUGUUGAAGAGAGAAUGGUUUGGUUUUAAACUAUUUUGAACCAUGAAUUUCUGUUUGAAUUAGUAGACCUUUUGCGUGGUCAAUAAUACCAUUUGAAAUAAGAAAAAGGGCAGUAGAGAUGUUGUGAUAUGACUUGAAAGUCUAGGUAUGACGAUACCCUGUUACGAUGUGCCCUAAACAAAAAUAAAAAAAAUAACUUUAAGAAGAAGAUGUAUUUUAAAUAGUCUAAAAUUGGCCUCAAGAGAGUUAGAUGGUGUAACACCCUGAAUUUCCCUGGCAUUAUCUAAGUCCCAUAAAUGAGUAUUCGUAUAUGAAAAUUUUGAAAUACUUAUUAUUUUUCAUUUAGAGCUGCCAUAACAUAGGAAAUUCAGUAUGCUUUCCAAUGAUAUAAAAUUAGCCUAAAUCUGAUAACUGGUUAAGAAGUUACGGUAAUUUUAAGUUUCAGUCAUAAAAUACUACCAUUUUAAAUCUUGGUACGUCGCAGAGCUAGAAUAAAUGACGAUUGUCAAUUUCCAGUAAAGCUCCGUGAAACCACCAGGUCACGCCGUUAGCCAAAAUCCCAAUUGUCCUUUUCCAGUGUCCUGUUGUGAUAAUGGCGUGUCACACCAAGGGUGAGUUUUAGAAUCAAAAGGGCAGCACGAUUCCUCCGCAUUGCUCCAUGCCUUCAGUUCCUAGUUAUCCCUUUUCCAGUGGCUUAGCACAAUAGUGGCACGUCGCACCAAGGCCAAAAAUUGGGAUGGUAAGUUUUCAGCUUCUUAUUCUAAAUUCGUUUAAGGGUAUUUCAGUAUUUUUCCAUGGCCCGAAUUGACCUAAAUCAUGAAAUUUAACCAUUAAACACUCUAUGUAGUCAUCAUUAUUCAAUUUCUCUUCAAAAUUAAAGAUCCCCUAUUCAAUAACAAGAAACCCUAUAUCUCAAAUUCAAGGCAAUUUCUCAAGAACUCUCCUUCAAUCCUUCCAAAUUCAUCAUCCCAAGUAUAUUAGAUGCUCAUCUAUAGAUCCCUUUCAUUCAUGGAGUCCAAGAAACCCUUUUAAAUUAUAAAGUUGUGAUAUUUUAAAGUUAUCAUAUUUUAAAUUAUGAUUUCAUCUAUGAAUCUCCAUGUACUAUUGAUUUUAUACCUUGUACCACGAAGUUCGUGUUAUUAUUCAAUCUUCCAUGUUUUAAUACUAUUAUUUACUGAAUUAAACCACGAUUUAAUACUAUUAUGAUGAAUUCAUGCUAUUAUGAUGAAUUCAUGUUAUUCCUACAAAUUCCAUGACAUUCAUAUGAUUGUUUUAAACCAUGAACUACAAGUGUUUGAUAAAAUGCCUACAAGAGUAAAUUAAUUAUUAAGAGCCUUCAUGUUUUGAUCUCCAAGAGUUAGUGUCAUUUUACUAUAAAUGUUUUGAGUCCUGGGGGUAUUGAAUACCUAAAAUCCAUUGUUGUUUAUUUAGUCUAGUCUCAUUACAUUACAGAACAGUCUUCAGGAUAUACUAUAAGCACUUCAAAGUAGUCAACUACUAGUCAGUUAUACUCAGAACAAUCUAGUAUCUCAGUGUCUUUCAGUUGGAAGUAGGAUUUAGCACCGAACGAGUGUAGGGAUGCUAGCUUCCCUAUCAGAUAGGCAAAAUUAUUAGUAGCAGUCCCUAUACUCCAGAACUACCUAGCCAGCAUAUAUGAGUAGUCACCCGUUAGAUUAGUCUUGACUAACUCGUAGGGGUCAUUCAUCAAUUCAGGCUUGACAACCUUAGUCCUUUGGAAAUUAUAUUAGUUUAGUAGAUCCACACAGCCAUUGUUAGUACUCGUGGCAUGGUAUUCACACCUUUCCAGCUGGGGUUACAGGUUGGACCCUAAUUAGCUCAAAUUAGGGAAUGCCAGUUAGAUGAUACCUCUUACAGUCUUAGAUAUAAUCUCAGUUACAGUUUCAGUUCACUUAUUCAGUCUUAGUUUUGUUUGACUAAAGCAUACAGAUUUCAAUCAUUUCAUUACUUUGGUUUACAGAUUUUACUCAGUUCAUGUUAUAUGCUUGGUUAUGCAUUCUCAGUGUCUACUAAUUUUCACGUAUUUUUAGUAUUUACAGAUUCGCAUGCAUAUACAGUAUUUAAAUGCUUCAUGUAUCUCCAGUGCCUAUAGAUUUUAUGUUCUCUAUUACGUAUCUCAUGCUUUACAUAUAUAUUCAUAUAGUUUAUUAUUCCUAUUCAUGAAACCAUGUAUACCUGCCUAGCUCAUUUAGCAUACCAGUACAUUCAAUAUACUGAUCGCAUACCCUUUUAUUUUUUGCUAUAAUAUCUUAUAUCAUAGGUUCUGACGCUCAGUUUUUGGCUCAUAAGUAGACUUAUCAGAACCACAGCAGUAGUAGUGGUGAGUCCUUAUACUUCAAGGACAGGCUUACUUUAUUUCAUGUCUUAGUUAGUAGUUAGUUGGAGUUAUUUGGGGCCUAUUCCAUCAACUCAUAUUCAU
rnacentral:lncRNA from 1 species